rnacentral:lncRNA from 1 species
AUAAUAAUAAUUAUGACAAUAGUUAUAAUAGUGGUAACUGUAGUAGGUAUGAAAAUAGUAACUACAACAGUAGUUAUGCAGGAACAGACUGCUUAAAUUUAAAAAAGUUACUAGGUGGAUUAAUUUUGAAUGGUGUAGAUUAUAGUAACUUAUUAAAAAAUCACAGAACACUGCUCAAAAACAAUACAACUAUGGAUAUUAAUAGAAUAAAAAUGGAAAAUCAAAAUGAAGUAACAAAUGGAAUGGCAAAUGGGAUAACAAAUGGGAUAACAAAUGGGAUAACAAAUGGGAUAACAAAUGGGAUAACAAAUGGAAUAACAAAUGGAAUAACAAAUGGAAUAACAAAUGGAAUAACAAAUGAAAUAACAAGUGAAAUAACAAAUGGGGAAACUUAUUUAAAUAAAAAUAACUUUAAAAAUAUAAGAAUGAAAGAAGAAACAUUACAAAAUAAUAACAGAGAUGGUAAAUAUGUUUUGAAUAAUACACCUAUGUCAAUGCAUCUACCUGUAUCUGUACAUGUACCUGUCCCUGUGCCUGUACCGGUACCGGUACCUGUUACUGUGCCUCUAGAAUAUAGAAAAGGAAGAGAGAUAGAAACACAUAAUAACUUUUUGAAAUUUCAUCCUAUUGAUAAUAUAAGUGAUAAUAAUAGUAUGUUAUUAGGUUGUGAGAGUGUGGAUGAGAAGAGUGCUACUACUACUACUACAGGUAGUUUUGUAACCGAGAGUACAAAAGUUGACAGUUUAGCUACAAUUACAAAUAUUAAUACCGACGAUGUCCAUAAAAAUAUAAAUAAUAAAAAUAACUUUUACAUAGGUAAUAACAUUGGUAAUAACAUUGGUAAUAACAUUGGUAAUAACAUUGGUAAUAACAUUGGUAAUAACAUUGGUAAUAACUUUGGUAAUAACUUUGGUAAUAACUUUGGUAAUAACUUUGGUAAUAACAUUGGUAAUAACUUUGGUAAUAACUUUGGUAAUAACUUUGGUAAUAAUAUAAAUGCAAAUGCAGGUAGCAAUAUAAAUAACCACAAUACUAAAGAAGUAGCAAAAAAAAACACGGACAUAUCUAAAGUAAAUAAGCUAGAUGUAGAAAAUAAAAGUGGAAUCAAUAAAAAUGGAAUCAAUAAAAAUGGAAUCAAUAAAAAUGGAAUCAAUAAAAAUGUAAUUAAUAAAAAUGGAAUCAAUAAAAAUGGAAUUAAUAAAAAUGGAAUUAAUAAAAAUGGAAUCAAUAAAAAUGGAAUCAAUAAAAAUGGAAUUAAUAAAAAUAAUAAUAAUAAUAAUAAUAAUACAAAAAUAAAAGACUAUAGUAGCUUGCUUAAUAAUAAUGACGAUUACAAAACAAAAUUUAGUCCAGCAGAGCUGAAGCCACAAAGAGGGGUAUAUUUUGAUAGGUCACAAAAGGCAUGGAUAGGUAGUUGGUAUGAAGAAGGAAAACAAAUAAAAAGACGUUUUAAAAUAAAAUUUUAUGGAUGGGAUGAAGCUAGAAACUUAGCAACAAAGGCUAGAUUUGCUUUUGAAAAUAAAAUGAAGAACAUAAAAAAUAACAAAAAAGGAAAAUACGGCAAUAGCAACAACAAUAACAAUAACAAUAACAAUAGCAAUAGUAACGACAAAACCGAUCACAAAACUGACAGCAAUAUCACACCUGAUAAAUCAAACGUAAAUCAUAAUGUAAUGGCAACGGAUGGUGUUGUCACAAGAUCUAACGAUAAAAAUAUGCAAACAGAUGCAAAAAAAGUUGAUAACCAUUUUAAUUAUAAUUGCAAAAAUAAUAAAUUAAGCACGGGUUCAAUUACCAUGAUUAGAAAAGGAAAAAGGACCGUUUUAAAAAAGUAUAAUACUCAAAAAAGUGGACAUAAUAAAAACGAAGAGGGAAUAUUAACAGAAGCGAUGACAGAAACAUCGACAACUUCGUUGUCUAAUAUAUGUAACAAAAAAAAAUUAGAGAAACUAACUGAAAGAAGUAGUAGUAACAAUAAUGAUACUACUAAUAACGGUACUAUACGAAAAAGAAGGAAAAAGAGAAAAAAAAGAGGAAUUAGUGUAGGGUCAGCUAAAAAAAACGAC